UACGGAAGGCAGCAGUGGGGAAUAUUGCACAAUGGGCGAAAGCCUGAUGCAGCUAUGCCGCGUGUAUGAAGAAGGCCUUAGGGUUGUAAAGUACUUUCAUCGGGGAGGAAAAAACAAAACUAAUAAUUUUAUUUCUUGACGUUACCCGAAAAAGAAGCACCGGCUAACUCCGUGCCAGCAGCCGCGGUAAUACGGAGGGUGCUAGCGUUAAUCAGAAUUACUGGGCGUAAAGAGCACGUAGGUGGUUUUUUUAAGUCAGAUGUGAAAUCCCUGGGCUUUAACCUGGAACUGCAUUUUGAAACUGAAAUACUAGAGUAUCGUAGAGGGAGGUAGAAUUCUAGGUGUAGCGGUGAAAUGCGUAGAUAUCUGGAGGAAUACCUGUGGCGAAAGCGGCCUCCUAAACGAAUACUGACACUGAGGGUGCGAAAGCGUGGGGAGCAAACAGGGAUUAGAUACCCGU
rnacentral:rRNA from 1 species